GCCCACGUGCAGCUGCCAGCACUGCCCAUCUCCUCCCGUCCCGCACUGUGUUUGCAGUUUCCCUGCUCUCUGGCUGUUGCUUCAGAGCUCAGGUCGUGAGGAGUUCUGCAAAAUGCAAAGGGGAUGUUUCAGAUGAAGCAGGACACAAUUAAAAAGAUAUGAGAUCUGCUGUGACCAUUGCUGCUGACAGAACUGCAUCAGGGAGGGCUCUGAGCCCACGUGGCAGUACGUGUUCUCCACAUUUAUUAUUGAUGAGACAGAUGUGCACAGAGCACUCGUGUAAAUCCUUGCUUAGACAGCACUGUUCACAGAGCACGUUCUUCAUGUGAGCAUCUUUAAUGAACACGUAGCACUUUUUACCAAACCUUGCUGUUUUUUGAGGAACCAGAGGGUGUGUGGCAGGUCCCAGCUGAUGGUAGGGAAAAGGCCAAGGCUGCUUGGGAAGGGCACUUGCAUCCCAUGCAUUUACUCCUGGCAUCUGCCUGUCUGAAACAGGCCUUGUGCAUGCAGAGAGGAGCUGUUUGGGGCUUGUGGCUUCGUGAUAAGGGGUAUGCAUUGAAUUCUACAAGCACAUAUCACAAAAACUUCUGACCUUGGCCAUGCACAAGUGUAAGAGAGAACCCAGUUGUUACUGGCGUUGUGUUGGUUUUGCCUGCUUUGCCUUCCCAACAGGCAAAGCAAAGCACAGAAACAACUCAGCCAGAGUUGCCGGUGCCAGGAGAAAAGUCAGCUCUUCUGAGCACAAGGGCAGCGUUCAGUUUAACACUCCUGCCUUCUCUAAGGAUCUGACAGCAUAAUUUAGCUGUACUGUAAUUUACUGUGCUGUGUUACGUGUCCUACAUUACAGUGAGGCUGACCAAGUUUGUAAUUUUAGAGUAUAUGAUCAACAUGCCGCUCAUUUUUCCAUUAUCAGGGAAGUCUGUAAUUUAUCUCCCUCCCUCACGUCUCGUACUGGAGCAUUUCAUUUCCAUGACUGUGAAUUAUCAGCAUCCAAUCCUUGAAGCUACGAUUGGAGAUAAUAGCCUAAAGUUUCCCAGGUGAAUAAUUACUCCGGUUGUCCAGCCUGUGAUAUCUUUGAGAGCUUUUUUCCCCUGCAGAGGAAAGCAUUCUGCCUUUUCUGAAGACCGUGACCUUCUACGGUGACUGAAACCUAUUUUGGUUGAACUCUUAUUUGUGUGAAGUCUGUCAUUACGUGUUCUUCUCAGCUUGUUGUCUGUAACAGAUACUUUGACGUGAGAUUGCAGAACUGCUCAAAAUACUCUGGAGCAGAAGUUCCAGUGGAAGUUCUUGGGAUCUGAGAUUUUUCAGUUGUGUUUAUUUAAAAAUCCUGUCGUUGUUGCCUGGCAAUUACUGUUUAACACAGUCAGAACAAAAUUAUCAAGUCGAUAUUUUGGAGGCAGAAAGGCAAUUAGCUUCUCCAUUCGCACUCAAGAGGAGUCAGGUACUGUUAAUGAAGUCCCAUGUUUACCUUUGAAUCUCUCCUCUAGCAUGGAAACAUGGAAUUUGGCGCAAAUAUUUGUCCCAGUUCUACUGCACAAACUGUGCAAUGAAUACGUGAGGCUAUCUGCACAUGAAUUCAGCCUCUCCAGGGCUUUUGAGACAGCAAGAUCCCCUAAAUACGUGGUUGGUCUUAAUAUUCUUGUCACAGGUCUGAUUUAUCCCGGCCGAUGCUUGCAGGACUCUCAGUGGACACUGAUGUUUAAGCACAAUGAGCUUUGCUCUUGAGGCAGCUGCUGGUGAUCCCAGGUAUUCUUGGUUUGCUUUCUGCAAAAGCUUCAUUUUUUAGCAGAAACGCUUGGGAAUUUUCUCCAGGCCGGGCUAAUUUCUAGCAAGCAGAUGUUGCCAAGGGAUUUUCUUAUCUUAGCCUGUUGGAGCUUCAAAAGAACAAGUUGAGAGGCUUAAGGAUCCUAUAAAAGUACUCGGCGAGGGGUUAAUGAAGAGCACGUUGAACACAUGGCUAAUGGAUGUUGUUGUGAGACGCUUUGCAUGUGGUUACGGGGUUUUCAGAGACAUCGCUCCUUCCGUAGGCAAGCAGCGGGCUGUUGGUCACUAGUGGGCACAGCUGUGGGUAGCUGUUGUGUUUUUGUGCAGCACUCCAUGCCUACAGGUAAAGAAUUGGGCAGUUUUAACACAUCAGCAAACCUGACCAACUGUUCGGAGCCAUCCGCAAGGUUUUGGGAUAGCAGCACGCCCAGCAUUUCUCCACAAGGGCAAUCUGCAUGGUCCGUCAUCUGUGGCAAUGCGAAGGUUUAAAAUGCUCCAUUGUAAAUGACGGGAAGGCUCAGACAUUGCUGUGGGACUGUCAGUGCCUGUGCAGGGUGUAGUUCGGCCUCCUCUGUGUUUUGCUCAUCUUCCUCAGUACAUCUGUGCCAAAGACAUUUCUUCUGCCUGCACGGCUUGUUCCGCGACCCAUCAGAUUCCCCGGUGCUGAUGACUUCCAUUGAUGUCAAGACUACGCUGGCUGACACAGCCAGACAGGUGUGUCACUGCCAUUGGUCAAACCAGCUCAGAAACUUAGGAGAUUUUCUGAAAGUGGAUGUUACUUGCUCUAAAGGUAAAAUAUUAUUCGAUUUUGUUUUAAGGAAGUGGAAACGUGAAAACCAUUUGCUUCAAUCUUGCAGAGAUUUUGAGUAAGAAAUAUCAUUAGAUUUAGGAAAAGUGGUUGACUACAAAGAUUCACUCUGUAUAAUUCACUAGAAGAUGAUAAGAAUUUGAUUUUUUCUAAUUUCUUUUAGGUACUUCAGCUUUUAACUGACCUUCUGUAAUUGUAAGGUAAAGUUCAUUCUUUGUGAGAGGCACACACUUCUGGGAUAUUUAAAAUUUUCCAAAACACAUAUGCUCUGUUAGAGCUAAGUGUUUUAUUGCUGUUUCAAACAACAUUAGAUGUUUUAUGGAUCACAGACAUGCCAGACUAAGUGUAUCAUAUGCCCAGUGUCAGAAGCAGUUCUGGGUCUGUCUGGGCUUUGGACGGGUGACCUGCUUGCUGCAGAGCCUGACGAGUUGUGAACCAGGAGAGGACAGAAGCUGGGUAAAUGGGAAGAUCCAACCACUCUUGGCCCAUCUUGGCUGCAGAGCCCAGAAAGAUGAUUUAAUGAACAUGAAAAUAUCCACACACCUCCAGGGUCAGUCUCGUUUUUGGCUCACAAGGUGCCAAGGAGCGAUGGCCACGCUUUGGGAAGCACAGAGCUCUGCCCUAGGAGCACCGUGGUUUUGGUGGAAGGAUGUCUCUGGGUCUUAAAUACUGCUAAUGGUACGGUGACAGCCCUCUUCUAUCAGGGCAUGACCACAAGGGGCUGGGCAGAGCCCAUAAACUUCUCUUGAUGCUCAUCAAGCAGUCGCUGCUUGUAACAGCUUUUUAUUCCUGACCUGUGGACUCAGAUUUUAAAAGCAAACCAGGGUCUUGAGCCCGUGCCCUGAUGAGAGUUGCUAGGAUAUAGCCUCCGUAAUUCUCAAGGGUCGUUGUUUUAGAGGUGUGAGGUCUGCAGAAAUCUGGCACGUAAAUGCUUGCAGAGGUCUGCCCUAGCGUCGGGUUUGAAAACGCCGAGCUGCUGGAGUGAAUUGCGCUGACACACCGAAAAGCAGCCCAGCCCUCCUCCUCAUCCCCACCCACGUAAUGAAGAGAGCCAUUAAUUUUCAUCUGCCACAUCGUGAACUGUGGUCCCCUGGGAGCUGCUGCAGGCUCAUCUCUGUGGGAGCAGAAAGCCACAGGGCAGGGGGGGAGAGAGCAAGGACCGGGAGCUGCUUCAGCCGUGCGAUAAAACCAACCCCGAAUCCACAGCAGAACAUCAUCCUGGGGAAGGUUUAGCUUAUCCAGACCCCAUGGAUGUAAAAGAAUAUGAGAGCUCUCCUAUUGCAUCCUGAAGCAGUCCAUUGCUGGGGUAAUUUAGUUCUUGAUUUUGUAUUUUAUUUUAUUUUUAUGUCCCGGCAGCUUCCCUCUUUCCCAAAUGGGCAUGUCAUCGGUAUUGUAAAGUGUUAUAAAAACAUAGGGACAACCACCCCAAAAGCUGUAGACUUGUUAAUCAAUAUUUGGAGACACACAUGUCUUGUUAGAACUACAAGCUUAGCCACAAAAAUGUAUUAAAAAAGACAUUUUUCUUCCAAAGCUAAACCAGCAACACAUGAUCAUAAUGAAAUGAGUAAGUAUUGUAAUUGGAUAUUGUAUCACGUUGUAUGGCUUUAAUUUAAGACAACAAGCAGCAAUUCAAUAACACAGAGGCCGCUAUUGCUUCUGAAACACUUUCAUGCCUGAAGGAUAAGUGAAUAUCUUAAAAUAAUUGUGGAUUAUUUCUCUUGCAGUACCUACAAGAAAAAGAGGAGAAGAAAAGUCUGAGUUUUACAAGAGCCCAGUACCUGGUUGGGGAAGCAUCGGGCGUGUGGUGUGGUGUGGGACGGACAGACCAAGGCAAAAUCCUUGGCUGGGAUAGUCACCCAGUAGGGCUCACAUGGUUUCACACGCUGUAUUCCUCCAAGUCCAGGCAAUGUGCAGAUUUCAAAGAUCAGGGGGUGUUUUUUUUUUCCCCAGUUUGCUUUGGAUACACAAACCAUUGUGGACAGCACUGCACUGCUAUUAUUUUCCUCGCAAACCUGAAUACUUGUGCUGGUAUUCAGCUUGGCACUGGUAUUCAAUCCACUUGGGGUUCAGGUUUUAUAUGGGAGCUUGUCCUUGCGCCGUAUUCAUCACUUCAGUGAGAAAAUGGAUAGAUAGUGGGAAAACGUUAUUAUUUUUUUCCUCUAAGAGAUGGAUGUCCAAGCUUGUGGUGUAGCCAGUAUGGCCCUGCAAAAGUAUGACCACUGCUGGCACUUCUUGUAUGAAAGGAUGCAGAAUAUUUGCAUUAGGUAAGGAAUGGAUGAGGUAAAAAUGAAGCAUAUUUUCUAACGGUUAGUAUGUGUGUAAGACAGAGUGAGGAAGAAAGGGAAGGGAGUGUUUAUAUUUUGUAUUUAAGGGAGUCUAUAUGAGUGAAGGGUGAUGAAAAAGGAGUCCAAAGUCUGAAAAGGUACAGCUCAGCCAGCAGGUGAGCACAACCUUCUCCAACAGCUCUGCCUCAUCUCCACCUGUGAGAUGCUCUCAGCAUCGCUACCCGUGCCCAUUUCUGCUGCCCAGCAUCACUGCCUCGCUGCAUGUCCAUCAUGUGUCCAUCAUCAGCAGACAGCGCCGUGGUGAGGUCUCCUCAACCGCUUCCUCCAUGCCCCUGAAAUGAGGACAACAGGCUGGGACACUCUGCUGUGUGUCUCUGAUUUCCUCUGCGAUAAAAUUAUCCUCUUACCACGCUCUGCCUGAUGCUGACGGACUACAGAGGAGAGGCAGCAGGUUCUGCACAGCCCAGUGCAGGGGAGGCAGGACACAACAGGACGCCCACCGCUACAACAUCUCCACAGACAAAAACGAUUUUAAUGUGCUGCAAUUCACUAACAUUUGCUUCAGCCCUGGAAUCUAAGUGGGGAUGAGUUACUGCUGUUGUGUGGCUCCCUGCUCCAUCUGCUCCUGAAAUGAUCAUUCCACAUGAUACAACAGAACAACUUCUGAAGCAAAUUGGACUGACUUGAGUUGAGGAAUAAUCAAGAGGAGAUCUCGGGAAUGAAAGGUCUUUCUUUCAAUGGUGAAGGUGAAGUCAAAUAACAAAGGAGGCUGGAAAAAUAAAGCAGGACAUUUCCAGUACAGGCCGGCCAGUGGGGAGCUGUGGAUAUUGGUCAAGAAUAUGCUGACCUUAAGCAGGAGGGCUUUUGUAACCCCUGGUUUUGGCAACAGUUGGAGAGGUCUGUUGGUGCUCACCAGAAAUACCGGUUACACGAACAGCUCUUCCUUUGGUAAGUGCCUUCAGAAACGAAGGAGCACUGAGGUUAACUUCGGAGCAUAAAUCCUCUGGGUGUCUCUGCUCUCCUGCCAGGUCCAGUUUUUUGUCUGCCUUCCCCUGAGCUGCCUGCACCCACCAGCAGGGCACAGACUUCCUUGGCUUUUCCAGACUGUCCCCUUUGACUCAGUCCCACCUCUUGGGGUGCCCGUGCAUCGCCUCACCCCACAAGUUUUAACGAGGCAGCAGCAGACCUCAGACCCCAGCACCCCACUACGUUACUCCAGCCAUGUCCAAAGCUCACUUCUGUUAUUUCCCUCAAAAACUAACAAGGGUUUGUCUUUCUGCCUAAGCCCCCCCAGCCCUGCAAUGCAAAAGUCUUUCUCUAGACCUUUGGCCAAAGCCUGAAUCUCUCCAGACCACGUAUAACCAAGGUGUUUCCUUCCUUGCAAUGCCUCUUCUUCAGCAGCUCCUCUGCAGCCAACCUCUCUGCUGCUGCAGCAGGAAAAUGUCUCCUGGCCCCUUCCUGUGGGUGCAGCCCUAUCUGUCACCUGCACGUUUCCCUACCUCACCGUGCAGUCUGUUUGCAGACUGUGGAACAGUUCACACGAGCUCGCAGUUCCUCCUUCCCACAGCCCUAAUUGAAUUUUAACCAGCUGCUGUCACAGCCCGGGCCUCAUUUGUUAGCCAAUUCCUUGUCCAAUUGAUUAUUUCACUAGCCUUGCUGUUUUAACAGCCUUAUUGAAGUUCAUGUAAAUCAUAUCUCCGAUUUCACUCCUGGGCUCUCUUGCUGUCCCUUUCGCGGAGAUAUGAAUCAAACAUUAAUAUUGAUCAGCAUUUAAUGCCAGACACAAAGGAAAAUUUGCUUUCAUGUAAUAUGAAAUAUUAAUAAAACAUUAAUGAGGGCAAAGGAGAAGGCUGCAAACAUGAUAGCCAGCUCAUCUCUUUCCUCCAGCUCUAAUACGGCAUUAAGACGUCUGCAUUACGUGGCGGCUGGGGCUAUCCAGCCUCCAUUGAAAUUUAGAUUUGAUUCCUAAGUCCAGCUUGGGAAAAGUCAAGGGACUCACCACUCGAACGGAUUGACUGAGGCAUCUCAGGUGCUUUUAUCCUCUGUACACACAGGAUGGCUCCUCAAAUACUGUACUCUCAAUUUUAACAUCAAACGUUUUAUCAGAGUUGGACUGUGUUAAUCGCAUUCAAAUGCUGUGACUCAUUUAACCGGACACUUUACCCAUAUUCUGGUAUCCAUUCUGCAUGAAGCCGUGUUUCUGAUGGUGUGAACUGCUGCUCAAAAAGCAGCAACUGAGAUCAAGUAGUCAAAGGGACUUCGACAGAUGAGUCCCAGUUUUGAUUUUGGAUAUUGGGCUCGCUUUAGGCUAUUCCUUAGGAAAUUCUGAUGUAGAACUCAAAUGCAGUUAAGUGCCUUCUCAUUACUCUCCUAUUAGCUCAAGAGUGCAGCGAGAAGGAGAAAAUCGUGAGUUCAGGUGUAGAGAAAAGAACCAGAAGUUAAAUGCAGCUGAACGUGCUUGGAGAAUUUGAAAAUAAAGAAGGCAAAAUGAGAUAAUGAGAUGUAAAACGUGCCUUUAAUCUGAGUUUUAGCCACGGCAGGAGAUCACAUCUGAGUUGCACCAAGACAGGCAGUGCUCACUCUCUGCUGGGUAAAGGUAAUCAGGGAUAAAGCAAUAAGAAAAUAGAAGGGUAGGGAAAAAAAAAGAAAAGAAAAGAAAAGAGGGAAAUAUAGGAUGAGAAGAACGGAAGACCAAGAGAUGACUGAGAACACAAGCACGUCUAUAAAGGAAAAAGACGUCAGAGUACUGUGUUGUGAAAUUAGUUUGUUCAGUGCAGAUUGCAGAGUGAUUCCACUGGAUAAAUCCAUUUACUUGGGUAUACAAAGGCAUUGCUGGAUGCAAUUCCGGUGCUUUGGGUUUGAUGCUCUCCUAGGUUAUGCCUCACUUGGAUGUUGUUUAUGCAAGAGAGAAGCAGCUGUAAUCUGAGAGCAAUUGUCAACUAAUAACAGGAUAGAAGAAAAGCAGGGCUAAGAAGAUUGAGAGCCACCUAAUCUGGAGAUCUGUCAUUGUACUUCAAACAUCAGUUCUUGCCAGGAAGAAGAGCCACUCUGACCCUCUUACCCCAGGCUGGUUUUUCACAAUGAACUUUGAAGAUGUUUCAUUGUUUACCAGCAUCUGCUGAUCGUUUGAUCUCAAGUUAAGUGUAGCCCCUGCUGGAUUUACGAGCUGCUGAAAGAAAGAGAAGCAGAGUUAUAUUUCUACCACGCCAUAGAGAACUAGAGAUGCUGCAGUCUUCUAAAUCAUCAUCGCUUGUUAGGAAAACUUUCAUUUUCACUGCUGCUGGAUGACAGUUUGUUUUAAUUUUGCUUUCUAAGUAUCCUCUCCAUCAAUGACCUUCACCCUGUGUAAGUGGGAAUAUAAAGCAAUUGACAUGAAAUCAAUAUUAAUUCAGGAGCGUGUAGGCCUUUUUCCUCCUUUUGUAACAGAUACUUAUCAGGGUGUUACAACCUGGCCCUCUGAAGCCAUCGAGCUUCUGAACUCAGGACUGUGCAGCACCCAGAGGGAUGCUCUGAACAACCACAGGCUGUGUUGUGUGUGCUUGACUAUGGACCAAGAAAAAAUGUCAGUUUUGCUGUUGUGUUUUAUCAAAAAAGCAAUCACUGCACUUAUUUCCAAGACUCAGACUAACCAGUCCAAACUUCACAGCUGGUUCACUCUGAAGUUUUUUCAAGAACUGCUUGGUUUGGCCAGUGUUUGAGUAGUGCAGGUCUGACACAGUUUUAUUUUGUUUCAUUUUAGGUAGAAGUGCAGGUAGAUAAAAAUAUAGUGCUUUUGUUUGUAUUUAAUGGGGCUAAAACAGUGUUUGUCACUUGUGAACCUAGGAUCAAGACUUAGAUUUUCCAUCUGCUACAGCAGAUCAGAUUUUAGUGGAAGGUCAAACAGAUGUUGCUGGGAUUUUAUUGAGAUUUAUUGAGAAUACUGGUGAUGUGGGAGACAAAAGCUGACACGUGGAUCAGUGUGGCGAUGGAGUCACGGCAGGAUGCUACAUCAGCUGGCUCUGCUGGAGACUAAGCUAUGAACAGUUUCAUAUUUAAAGACGAAAAUAUGCUAUUCCAUGUAGAUUUGAAACAGGAAACACUGGAAGGAUUUCAGGAGAAACUUGCUUUGCAAAGAGCAAUGGGAUAAGAUGAUUUUAGGGUCAACGUUUUAGGAGAUGGAAGGAAAAUGAGGCUGUGGUGCAGAUAACAGUGGAAAACCUUCCAGGCUUUUAUCAGGAACUAACACAAACAGCCUUGAACACAAGGGCUUGAGCUCAGGAGAUCUGGGGUUUAUUUCUGACAUUGCAACUUAUUUGAAACAGUGAACGAGCCUUUUUAUUGCUCUCAGCCUCAGUUUCCCCUGCUUAAAAAAGGCAGUCGUGGGACGACCUCCCUUUAUAACAUACGUGUUAUGUAUUUUUUAAGUGUUCAGUAAAAGUUUAGCUCUAUUCGUUGCACCUAUGAAAAGCUUUUCCAGUAGCCCUAGCCAAUGAUGAAAACAAGAACACAUCAUCCAGGGGGCUGGAUGCUCAGCGUGUCUCUUGUCAGUGUGAGGAGAGCAGCAAGCUGCAGCUGCUGUGCACAUCUGCCCUCUGCAUCCCGUGCCUCUGAGAAGAAUGAAGGAUUUCAGAUUGCAGGGCUGUUAAUCUGGUACCUUUAACCAGGUAUCAAUAAAAAGAGGGGAAAAUGAUGAAUCAUCAGUCUCGGGUGCUUGUUAAGUGUUCUUGUUAGACACUAUUUCCAAUGGUCCGUAGCUUUACCCUGCCAAGAGUAAUUCUGUUCAUCUUCCUGGCUGCCCAGCAGAUGAGCAGAGUGACUGACAGCAGAAAUAUUCCAAAACAGGGGAUAUUAAGCAGGCACAGUGAUGACUGAUGUCUGCUGUUCUCCCGGUGGAGUUAUCACUCCUGUGAUUUACUUUGACUCUGGUGACACUUUUGCCCUUGAGGAUUUCUCUCCUUCUUUGCAGAGCUCUGAGCACUUCAAGUUUUGCGAAGAGCCGUGCAGGGAGGAUCUUCUGCGUUUCCAUCAGCCACAGGAGGUGAUCAAAUGGGGCUUUCCCAGUGCCAGCAAAUGUCGUGAAUGCCCUGAGACCUGUGCCAGGUCUCUGCUAAGGUCCUGAUGUCAAACUGUGGAGACCUCGGACGGCCAGGGACUGCCCUAUCUGUGAGUUGGUGCCAUCGUCUCGCACCAACACAGCAGUUUGUGCAAGGGGGUGGCCGCCUGAUUUUUCAGAUUAAGGCAAGAGUAUAAACAAGGGAGGAUCUUUAGCUCCGAAACCGAUUUCUGUCCAAAAGUUUGUUGGCUUUCAGGAUGUGCUGGCUCACAUGGUGUGUGCAGAGGUUACUUACAGGGUGGCUGGAUGGGAACACAGAGAAAGGCAGGAGAGGUAUUGGUGCUUUAUCAGCCGAGGCAAGCAGUGCAUGCAUCUCCCUACAUUGACGUAUGCAUCACAGCAUAUAAAUAGAUGUCAAGGGUAAGUUCAUACAGUGUCAGACUAGAAGGAUGUGAUGUAACAACUUCAUUAUCAUAUUUCUAUCUUCCUAAUUGCACUCCCCUUAGAUCACUUGCAAGGCUAUGCUGGAUUUCCGUGUAAUAGGAUCAAGUUUUAUUUGAUCUUAAGCCUUUUUCAACGGGAAGCUGAAAUGAAAGGCAAGAUUCAGAAAAGAGCAUAAAACUUAUUGCCUAAAUCUAAUACCAGGAGGUAUUUUCUCUUAACAGAACUUUCUGCCUGUAAACGUGUGACCCAUUUCCCAGAGUCUCCCCGUGCAUUUAUUCGACACUGGGUACAAGAAAUGAACACCAAGGACUUCAGAGGUCGGGUUGGCCAUGUGCUAAGCAAAGCAGCAGUGAUGUGUAGGGAAGUGAUGUUUGGCAGGGUGCAAAAGGAAGAAACACGCCUCCUGCAUGGAUUAUGAUUUUGGUUUCAGUCAUAUUAGUAUCUGGUCUCAGACAUCACCUCCAAUCCCGAAGUACUUUGGGAUUCUGUUGUCAAUGUUGGGUUUAGUUGCUGGUUAUUUUAAGUGACAGUUGUAAGGAAAAAAUAUGUAGAAAGCCCUCUUUAAAGAUGAUCAGCUUUUGUAGGAAACAGCCAAGGGAAAGCAACUGGUGUUUGUCAUAACAUGAUAAAUUGUGACAUAGUGUUCUGCAAAGGAUUAUUUUAAACUUUUCCUUGUCCUACUGCACUUGUCGGAGACUGACAGGAAAGUCUUGCUGCCUCAAAGUGCUGCUGACAAGAUUGAAGGUGUGUUAAGAAAACUGCUUUCUCCUGGGCAUGAAGUUAUUCUGACAGCCACCAGGCAAAUGUAUUCCAGUAAUCUACUGCCACUUCAUGUGCACUGCAGAGAACUGGAGACUGCUGCAGGAAAAAUAAGACCUGUGUUAAUACUGUGUGAAAUAAUAAUAAUACCUCUUCAUUCAGUAGAGAAGAAUGGGAAUUGCAGUAAUUAUUAUUAUUUUUUUGCAUAUGUGCAUAUCAUUAUUGCAGUCAUUUCACAGAUGCAGACAUUGAGUUCCCAAAAAGGCAUCUUAAGAAAUCCCACCUUCAGCUGUAUGCUCGCACUUUGGUUUGUGCUGCAGGCUCUCACAAGGGCAGAACUGAACGUGGGUGAGUCUCAGGCUCACCACCAGCCACAGCUGACCUGUGAAGAAGUUGGUUUGACAAACUGGCUUGUGUGGAUGGUUGUAGCUCUACGCUAUGAUACAGAGCCAUGGUAGAUGCACUCCAUCCAAGUAUGCCAGGUAGCUGCUCUAAUAGGAUCUUGCUAAAUUGUAGAGUUUCUGGGACAGCGAGAGACGAGUGAAGAAAAUGAACAGGAAAAGUUAGUGGAACCACACUGAAGAGUCUUACUGAAGGGUUUUUUUUAUUCAAUAUUAGUCUUAUUCAUGGCUGCUGUCAGCAUGAUAAUUGCCAGAAAGACACGCAGGGCUCCUGCUUUGGGAACCAUCACUGAAAGUUGGGAAGGAGCCCCCUGGCUGGAUCAAUGCCCGAAUGAUGCCCGCUGCAGCGUGCUGUGGGCAGCCCGGGGCUGUGUCUGCAAGGACUGGGCUGGCAAAGGGCUGGUGAUGGCUGAACCGUGCAGUCUGCACUCCCAGAGCAGCAUCUGAGUGCACUUCCAGGGUGGCUAGCAAAGUUAAAAAUGCCUUGGCAUAAAACCGCUGGGCUUUAUCCUCCCCAUAAAUUUGCCCAAGGACUAGGAGUGUUUUAAGGCACAUCAACCUAAAGAAGUUUUAGAGUACGCCGGAAAAGAGCUAUAGUGCUGCAAUUUACAGCCAGGAACAUUCACCUGGACAAUAAGAAGCCUGGUGCAUUGAGCUGAAAAAUAUGCUGCAGUGUAUGGUAUUGGCUUGUUUGUAAUAAAACACUAGCCUGGUACAUUUUAUUGGUUUUACAGCCAUUUAUUGUUUUGUUUUCAGAAAUACAGUAUGUAAGCAAAACCAAUAAAAUAGUUUAUUACAUGGUAAUUGCUCAAGAAGAGAAAGGCUUAUCAGAGGAGGCAUCGCGUGAUCUCUUAGAAGUACUUGGUGGGUCUUGUGUAUCCAGAGACAAAAUGGAGGGGGAUGGCUGAACACCAUCCCGAGUCCUCUGUUGUCUUUCCUGGGGCUGGACAGAGAGUUUUCACAAGGUCUUGGACAAUUUCCCAUGUGCUUUAUCAGUAGGAGCACAAAUGAGCCAAGAAUGCAAAGCAGCAGCACAAU